GAUGAACGCUGGCGGCGUGCCUAAUACAUGCAAGUCGAGCGAACAGAUGAGGAGCUUGCUCCUCUGACGUUAGCGGCGGACGGGUGAGUAACACGUGGAUAACCUACCUAUAAGACUGGGAUAACUUCGGGAAACCGGAGCUAAUACCGGAUAAUAUAUUGAACCGCAUGGUUCAAUAGUGAAAGACGGUUUUGCUGUCACUUAUAGAUGGAUCCGCGCCGCAUUAGCUAGUUGGUAAGGUAACGGCUUACCAAGGCAACGAUGCGUAGCCGACCUGAGAGGGUGAUCGGCCCCACUGGGACAGGGACACGGUCCCGACUCCUACGGGAGGCAGCAGUAGGGAAUCUUCCGCAAUGGGCGGAAGCCUGACGGAGCAACGCCGCGUGAGUGAUGAAGGUCUUCGGAUCGUAAAACUCUGUUAUUAGGGAAGAACAAAUGUGUAAGUAACUAUGCACGUCUUGACGGUACCUAAUCAGAAAGCCACGGCUAACUACGUG
rnacentral:rRNA from 1 species